GAUUUUUAAUCUCAAGCUUCCAUCUUCUUCAUUCGAUCCUUUCUGCAGUCGGAUUUUGGUGAUCAAUUGAAAGUGUAGAGGGCAAUUAUGGGAGGCGGUGGACAUGGAGCUGGAACUACUUACAAGGGCGUGACCAUACACCCACCAAAGCGAUGGCACACCGUCACCGGCAAGGGGCUGUGCGCCAUUAUGUGGUUUUGGGUGCUAUACAGGGCGAAACAAGAUGGACCUGUAGUACUGGGCUGGAGACAUCCAUGGGAAGGCCAUGGUCAUGGUGACCAUGGUGACCAUGGGCAUGAGCACUAGAGAAAAAAAGUCGAAACAAAGUGUGUCCUAGCAUUCUGAUAUAAUUACAACACUGAACUAUUAGCUAUUUGACAUCAGUUUACUUGUAGUGGCUCGAUGCUAAUGGUGGGCGAAGGGGAAAUGGCAAGGCCUCAGUUGCAGGUUCUCUAUUUGAACGUUAAGAGUACCAUAUUUGCUAAGUUCUGUUCAAAUAAGGAUAUUGUGAUAGCCAAAUGGAUAUAAACAUCACUUCAUCAUUUUUAUUUUGUAAUCAUGAAUUCUUCUGAUGUGUUUUGAAUAUUUAAUUUGUGCUCAAUCACCGCUGUGGUUGAGUUGAAGCAAAGAUCAAUGCGCUAUUUCUGAAUAUAGGUUGUUCUUUUAUUUCA